GCAAUUCUUCUUAGUCGUGAUCGAAAAGUCGGAGACUUUAGGACAAUGUCGGCCUCCGACCGAGAGUUCCGGUCAGUUCUCGUUCCCGCCGGUAACAAGCUGCAGCAGACACCGUUGUCAAAGCCGGUGAAGAAGACCGAUAAAUCGAAAGACCUAACCUUUACGGCGUCUCCGGCGAAGAAGAGUUCGUCUCCUCUGAGCCCUUCGAUCCUGAGGAGGAACGGUGUCUCCAUGAACGCAUCGUAUUCCUCGGAGGCGUCGUC
rnacentral:lncRNA from 1 species